UACGUAGGCAGCGAGCGUUGUUCGGAGUUACUGGGCGUAAAGGGUGUGUAGGCGGUUGUUUAAGUUUGGUGUGAAAUCUCCCGGCUCAACUGGGAGGGUGCGCCGAAUACUGAAUGACUUGGAGUGCGGGAGAGGUGAGUGGAACUCCUGGUGUAGCGGUGAAAUGCGUAGAUAUCAGGAGGAACACCGGUGGUGUAGACGGCUCACUGGACCGUAACUGACGCUGAGACACGAAAGCGUGGGUAGCAAACAGG
rnacentral:rRNA from 1 species